CAUCCACAGGCACGCGGCUCGGGCGUCGUCAGCUAAGGAGACACGGAUCACAGUGAAACGAUUAGCUGUCCCAGGCACCGCCGCCUUCCCCCUGGCAACACCGUCCCAGAAAUCAUGGUCCCACUCAAAAGGAUCCAGGGAUAAGAAGUAACAGUAGAGAUCAGAGAUCUUCAGACUUCCUUGUCUCCCUCCACUUCCUCCAGCUCUUCUGGGAGUAUGCUGACGCAUAACCAAGAAAGCAAAGAGAUAGGAUGUCUCCAAUGAGUCUUGGGUCUGCCCCAAGGCCUCUUCCGACUGAGGUAUGCCUGAAACACAUCCCCUAGGGCUAUGUUUCUCAAUCCUGGUCCUCAGGACCC